AGCUCUGCAGUGUGUGAGCACGCUGAAUUGCAAAUUCAGAGAAGCAGCUUCAAUCCUGCCGGAGCUU
rnacentral:tRNA from 1 species